UAGGGAAUCUUCCACAAUGGGCGCAAGCCUGAUGGAGCAACACCGCGUGAGUGAAGAAGGGUUUCGGCUCGUAAAGCUCUGUUGUUGAAGAAGAACGUGCAUGAGAGUAACUGUUCAUGCAGUGACGGUAUUCAACCAGAAAGUCACGGCUAACUACGUGCCAGCAGCCGCGGUAAUACGUAGGUGGCAAGCGUUAUCCGGAUUUAUUGGGCGUAAAGAGAGUGCAGGCGGUUUCUUAAGUCUGAUGUGAAAGCCUUCGGCUCAACCGAAGAAGUGCAUCGGAAACUGGGAGACUUGAGUACAGAAGAGGGCAGUGGAACUCCAUGUGUAGCGGUGGAAUGCGUAGAUAUAUGGAAGAACACCAGUGGCGAAGGCGGCUGCCUGGUCUGUAACUGACGCUGAGACUCGAAAGCAUGGGUAGCGAACAGGAUUAGAUACCCUGGUAGUCCAUGCCGUAAACGAUGAGUGCUAGGUGUUGGAGGGUUUCCGCCCUUCAGUGCCGGAGCUAACGCAUUAAGCACUCCGCCUGGGGAGUACGACCGCAAGGUUG
rnacentral:rRNA from 1 species